AGUGAACGCUGGCGGUAGGCCUAACACAUGCAAGUCGAACGGCAGCACAGUAAGAGCUUGCUCUUACGGGUGGCGAGUGGCGGACGGGUGAGGAAUACAUCGGAAUCUACUUUUUCGUGGGGGAUAACGUAGGGAAACUUACGCUAAUACCGCAUACGACCUACGGGUGAAAGCAGGGGAUCUUCGGACCUUGCGCGAUUGAAUGAGCCGAUGUCGGAUUAGCUAGUUGGCGGGGUAAAGGCCCACCAAGGCGACGAUCCGUAGCUGGUCUGAGAGGAUGAUCAGCCACACUGGAACUGAGGCACGGUCCAGACUCCUACGGGAGGCAGCAGUGGGGAAUAUUGGACAAUGGGCGCAAGCUUGAUCAAGCCAUACCGCGUGGGUGAAGAAGGCCUUCGGGUUGUAAAGCCCUUUUGUUGGGAAAGAAAAGCAGCAGGUUAAUACCCCGCUGUUCUGACGGUACCCAAAGAAUAAGCACCGGCUAACUUCGUG
rnacentral:rRNA from 1 species